rnacentral:rRNA from 1 species
GUGCACGCUGGCGGUAGGCCUAACACAUGCAAGUCGAACGGCAGCACAGUAAGAGCUUGCUCUUACGGGUGGUGAGUGGCGGACGGGUGAGGAAUACAUCGGAAUCUACUUUUUCGUGGGGGAUAACGUAGGGAAACUUACGCUAAUACCGCAUACGACCUACGGGUGAAAGCAGGGGAUCUUCGGACCUUGCGCGAUUGAAUGAGCCGAUGUCGGAUUAGCUAGUUGGCGGGGUAAAGGCCCACCAAGGCGACGAUCCGUAGCUGGUCUGAGAGGAUGAUCAGCCACACUGGAACUGAGACACGGUCCAGACUCCUACGGGAGGCAGCAGUGGGGAAUAUUGGACAAUGGGCGCAAGCCUGAUCCAGCCAUACCGCGUGGGUGAAGAAGGCCUUCGGGUUGUAAAGCCCUUUUGUUGGGAAAGAAAAGCAGCAGGUUAAUACCCCGCUGUUCUGACGGUACCCAAAGAAUAAGCACCGGCUAACUUCGUG